UAUCAUCUGUUUCUUAAAUAUUUAUUGAAUUUGACUUUUAAGUGAAAAGGCUUAAAUAAAACAAAAAGACGAUAAGACCCUAUAAAUCUUUACAAUAAAUAUAUUUUAUAUUUUAGCUUAUAAGUGUAUAAGAAAUAAAAAUAUAGGUUUGUUGCGCUGGGGCGGCGUAGAUAUAUAAAUAAACUGUCUAUAAUUUAAAUACAAUAAUUAUUGCUUAAUACAAAUUGAUCCUUAAAUAGAUUAAAAGAUUAAGAUACUUUAGGGAUAACAGCGUUAUUUUUUUUGAGAGUUCUUAUCGAAGAAAAAGUUUGCGACCUCGAUGUUGAAUUAAAGUGUCUCUAUGGUGU
rnacentral:rRNA from 1 species